rnacentral:tRNA from 1 species
GGCGUGGCUCAGCGGUUGAGCAUCUGCAUGGCGUGCAGAAGGUCCCUGGAUCCAUCCCCAGCAUCUCCA